rnacentral:rRNA from 1 species
UACGUAGGGGGCUAGCGUUGUCCGGAUUUAUUGGGCGUAAAGAGCGUGUAGGCGGCCAUGUAGGUCCGGUGUGAAAACUCGAGGCUUAACCUCGAGAUGUCAUCGGAAACCAUUUGGCUAGAGUCCGGAAGAGGAGAGUGGAAUUCCUGGUGUAGCGGUGAAAUGCGCAGAUAUCAGGAGGAACACCGGUGGCGAAGGCGGUUCUCUGGGCCUUACCUGACACUGAGGAGCGAAAGCGUGGGGAGCGAACAGG